AAUUUUCAUUAAAUGGUACUUAAAAUAUUUUUCAUUACAAUUUUUUUUAUAAAUGGUAAUGAAAUUUUAAUGCUUAAUGAAAAAUUCCCAUGUAUGUUUUGUAGUGAUCGCAGAGCAAGUAACAUAGUGUGUGCCUAAAAAAAUAAAAUUUAAACUGAAAUGCGUGUUUUUUUUUAUAAAAUUAUUAAAAUUUGUAUUUAUUAUAAAAAAAAAUAAAAUUAAAUUGGAACUAUACGCACCGCGUUUGUACACCGGAAAACGUAGAAGGUUUUCCGGUGUACAUACUUGAUACAAAUAUUUGAAUUUACGAGAUCUGUUUCUGAAACAUGUUUCCUAUUUGAAAGAAUGUAUAAGUUAAGCAUUUUAUAUUUUGAGAUUUUUAUGUUUAAUAAUUCAUAAUUUUGUAUUAAAACAUGUCGUGCUGUUGGUGCGAUAUUGAUGUUGGAGGCAGAAAUGAAUUCGUAUGACUUAAAAUAGGCUCUUACAUACUUUAGUAAAAAAAUCAGAGGAUUAAGGUUCCGUAAUAUAGCGGUUUUUGGUCGAUAACGACCGUGAAUAUGCUAAAAGUGCAAAGCUGUUUGGAAGUGGGUGGAAUUCUCAUAUUUGCCGUGCUUAGUAUAAUUUAUCGAUUCCAUUCCAAUAGAGAACAUUUAAAAUUAUAUGGAGCAACAAUUAAAAGCAGAAAUCCCUAAUAUUUUUUGUCAAUUUAAGGCCUAAAAGCUAUAAUUUAUGUCAUGAAAUUUCUAGUGGGUUCUGGUGAAGAUCAUGUUCAGAAGAAGGAAUGAUAUUAUCAAAAUGCGCAAAUAUUCCAUAAAAUAUGAAUUUUAAAAUAUUUUUGGAGGUAAAUUUACUUUGGAAAGAAAAAAACCUAUAUGCAACAAACUAGCGGAACAACAUGUAAUGUCUCAUGAUCCUCGAAGGACAUGUGUUACAGAUAAAAAGAAUUUGUUAAAAAAAACUUUAAGUAAUAUAGGAAAUAUUUGAUGUUAGAGUUCAUAUAUACCAAAUAUGCUAACCUCAUGGCCAUCACUGAAUGAAUAUACAUAUAUACACACAUAUAUAUCUUUUAAUAUUUUCUUAUUUUUUGUUGUUUUAUU